rfam:Zea mays cultivar B73 chromosome 3, whole genome shotgun sequence.
GAUCAAGUGGUGAGCUAUUAACUUGCUCCAAUGCCAUGAUUGGAGUUAGUUAUUCUCCUAUGAUUCCUAAGUUUUAAGCCUCUGAUGAUC